CCUACGGGUGGCAGCAGCAAGGAAUUUUGCGCAAUGGGCGAAAGCCUGACGCAGCAACGCCGCGUGAGGGAUGAAGGCCUUCGGGUUGUAAACCUCUUUUCUCAGGGACGAAUAAUGACGGUACCUGGGGAAUAAGCUUCGGCUAACUACGUGCCAGCAGCCGCGGUAAUACGUAGGAAGCAAGCGUUAUCCGGAUUUACUGGGCGUAAAGUGGACGUAGGCGGCCUUUCAAGUCGGAUGUGAAAUCUCCUGGCUUAACUAGGAGGGGUCAUCCGAUACU
rnacentral:rRNA from 1 species